rnacentral:rRNA from 1 species
UACGGAGGGUGCAAGCGUUAUCCGGAAUCACUGGGUUUAAAGGGUCCGCAGGCGGGAUAAUAAGUUAGUGGUGAAAUAUCGGGGCUCAACCUCGGUGCUGCCAUUAAAACUGUUGUUCUUGAGUUUAGUUGAAGUGGGCGGAAUAUAGCAUGUAGCGGUGAAAUGCGUAGAUAUGCUAUAGAACACCGAUUGUGAAGACAGCUCACUAAGUUAUAACUGACGCUGAGGGACGAAAGCGUGGGUAGCGAACAGG